AAUUCUGGUCAUCCAAUGAUCACUUCAAAAUCCUGUGUCAGGCAGAUAAAAAUCCCAAAGCUUUCAAGCCUGAAAUUCACCUCAUGUAAAAUUUUGUCCUCUAGGAUUUUCCAUCCUGGGCUUCUGUAACAGGGUAUAAGAGGACAUUGAAUCAGGAGGAGGUACAGGAGUACAUGAAGAGAUUAUGGAACAAGUGGAAGAAAGAACAUUUUAACAGUGAGCUACAUCACCCCUGUGUCAUUGGAGAACAUUGCUGCAGGAAAAAAAAUGCUUUGAGAAAUGAAGAUGUGCCCAACUGCAAGAGAAAUUUGGUGUCGGUUUAUGUUGAGAAUAUGGUGCACAAAAAGGAAAUCUAAUGUCUGUGGCAUACAUUUCAGAAAAAAUGGAGGAAAAUAAUUAAAAGCAAAAACAGAAUAAAACAAAAUGUCUAUAAAACGCACCCUGGGUUGUUUCCGAUGCUCCCAGCCCCUCCAAAGAGAACUGAAUUGUCACGGUCUUGUAGUUUCAAUGUCAAGUUUUGAUAGCGAAUUAUCUUCCAGUAGAAAUAACUAAUUGGGCAAAUUUAAAGUUGGACAAAUCAACUAACCCUGCU
rnacentral:lncRNA from 1 species